GUGCCCGUAGCUCAGCAGGAAGAGCGCCAUCCCCUAAGACCCAUGGGGGUGAAGGUCGCGAGUUCGAGCCUCGCCGGGUACG
rnacentral:tRNA from 1 species